GGCAGUUAGAGGCGAUGAAGGACGUGUAAGUCUGCGAAAAGCUGUGGUGAGCCGACAAAAUGCAUUUGAGCCACAGAUGUCCGAAUGGGGAAACCCACCUGUUUACAGGUAUCGUUAACUGAAUACAUAGGUUAACGAGGCAAACGAGGGGAACUGAAACAUCUAAGUACCCGGAGGAAAAGAAAUCAACCGAGAUUCCCUUAGUAGCGGCGAGCGAACGGGUAACAGCCGAUGGUUUAUGUUGUAGUGGAAUCUUCUGGGAAGUUGAGCGAUACAGGGUGAUAGCCCCGUACACGAAGCAACAUAAAGCACAUAUUAAGUAGGACGGGACACGUGUUAUCUUGUCUGAAGAUGGGGGGACCAUCCUCCAAGGCUAAAUACUCCUAACUGACCGAUAGUGAACCAGUACCGUGAGGGAAAGGUGAAAAGCACCCCGACGAGGGGAGUGAAACAGUUUCUGAAACCGGACGCCUACAAGCAGUCGGAGCCUCCUUGAGAGGUGACGGCGUACCUUUUGUAUAAUGGGUCAGCGACUUAU
rnacentral:rRNA from 1 species